AAUAGAUACCCAGGUAGUCCACGCCGUAAACUAUGGAUGCUAGCUGUACGAGGUAUCGACCCCUUGCGUAGCGAAGCUAACGCGUUAAGCAUCCCGCCUGUGGAGUACGGUCGCAAGACUAAAACAUAAAGGAAUUGACGGGGACCCGCACAAGCGGUGGAGCGUGUUGUUUAAUUCGAUGAUAAGCGAAGAACCUUACCCAGGUUUGACAUCCUACUAAUCACUCCGAAAGGAGAGAGUGCCUUCGGGCCGUAGUGACAGGUGCUGCAUGGCCGUCGUCAGCUCGUGUCGUGAGAUGUUUGGUUAAGUCCAUCAACGAGCGCAACCCUUUUAGUUAGUUGAAUUUUUCUAGCUAGACUGCCCUGGUAACAGGGAGGAAGGAGGGGAUGAUGUCAGGUCAGUAUUGCCCUUACACCUGGGGCUACAAACACGCUACAAUGGCCGGUACAAAGGGCUGCCAACCCGCGAGGGGGAGCAAAUCCCAUCAAAGCCGGUCUCAGUUCGGAUAGCAGGCUGAAACUCGCCUGCUUGAAG
rnacentral:rRNA from 1 species